rnacentral:rRNA from 1 species
CCUACGGGUGGCAGCAGUGGGGAAUAUUGGACAAUGGGGGAAACCCUGACGCAGCGACGCCGCGUGAGUGAAGAAGUACUUCGUUAUGUAAAGCUCUUUCAGCCGGGAAGAAAAUGACGGUACCUGUGAAAGAAGCACCGGCCAACUACGUGCCAGCAGCCGCGGUAAUACGGAGGGGGCGAGCGUUAUCCGGAUUUACUGGGCGUAAAGGGAGUGUAGGCGGCAGUGCAAGUUCGGAGUGAAAGGCGGGGGCUCAACCCCCGAACUGCUGUGGAAACUGUGUGGCUAGAGUGCAGGAGAGGUAAGUGGAAUGCCUAGUGUAGCGGUGAAAUGCGUAGAUAGUAGGAAGAACACCGGUGGCGAAGGCGGCUUACUGGACAGUAACUGACGUUGAGGCUCGAAAGCGUGGGGAGCGAACAGGAUUAGAUACCCGAGUAGUC